rnacentral:rRNA from 1 species
UACGUAGGGUGCAAGCGUUGUCCGGAAUUAUUGGGCGUAAAGGGCGCGUAGGCGGCCAUUCAAGUGACGGGUGAAAGCCCUCGGCUUAACCGAGGAACUGCCUGUCAGACUGGAUGGCUUGAGACCGGGAGAGGUGAGUGGAAUUCCCAGUGUAGCGGUGAAAUGCGUAGAUAUUGGGAGGAACACCAGUGGCGAAGGCGGCUCACUGGACCGGAACUGACGCUGAGGCGCGAAAGCGUGGGGAGCAAACAGG